rnacentral:rRNA from 1 species
GACGAACGCUGGCGGCGUGCUUAACACAUGCAAGUCGAGCGGUAAGGCCCUUUCGGGGGUACGACGAGCGGCGAACGGGUGAGUAACACGUGGGUGACCUGCCCUCAGCUCUGGGAUAAGCCUGGGAAACUGGGUCUAAUACUGAAUAUGACUCCACGGUGCAUGUCGUGGGGUGGAAAGCCUUGUGCGGCUGAGGAUGGGCCCGCGGCCUAUCAGCUUGUUGGUGGGGUGAUGGCCUACCAAGGCGACGACGGGUAGCCGGCCUGAGAGGGCGACCGGCCACACUGGGACUGAGACACGGCCCAGACUCCUACGGGAGGCAGCAGUGGGGAAUCUUGCGCAAUGGGCGAAAGCCUGACGCAGCGACGCCGCGUGAGGGAUGACGGCCUGG